GACGAACGCUGGCGGCGUGCCUAACACAUGCAAGUCGAACGGAAAGGCUCUGCUGUUGGGGGGUGCCCGGUUGGCGAACGGGGGGGAAACACGCGAGUAAUCGGCCCUUGACUUUGGGAUAACUUCAGGAAACUGGGGCUAAUACCGGAUAGGAGCUCCUGCUGCAUGGUGUGGGUUGGAGAGUGUCGGCGGUUGGGGAUGGACUGGCGGCUUAUCAGCUUGUUGGUGGGGUAGUGGCUUACCAGGGCUUUGACGGGUAGCCGGCCUGGGAGGGUGACCGGCCACAUUGGGACGGAGAUACGGCACAGACUCCUACGGGAGGCAGCGGUGGGGAAUAUUGCACAAUGGGCGGAAGCCUGAUGCAGCAACGCCGCGUGCGGGAUGACGGCCUUCGGGUUGUAAACCGCUUUCGCCUGUGACGAAGCGUGAGUGACGGUAAUGGGUAAAGAAGCACCGGCUAACUACGUG
rnacentral:rRNA from 1 species